CAACCUUCAAGCUCUGCUUGGUAUUAGGUGCCACCUUACAUAGUACAUCUUAAAAUCAGUGGCGGUGCCAUGUAGCUUCCAAGUGUAGUAAUAUUCCUUGCUUAGAAAGUUUGUAAUUGUGCUUGCCAACAACCCUCCAAUCUAUCAAA
rnacentral:misc_RNA from 1 species